UAUUUAUAUUAUUUUACAAAAUAUAAUUAUUAUAAUAUCUUAAGUAAAAAGAUAUUAUAGUGUAAGUUUUAACCACCAAUCGUUUUGUAAAUAUUUGAUACAUACCAACCUAAACUUUAUGUAAAUACCAAUUUAUCACAAAGGCACGUUACGUUAUUUACGUUGUGUGUUUCAAUACGUAAAAUUAAAUGCACAAGAAAUGUAUAUAAUAAGUCAGAUAUUAUAUAAAGUAAUUAUUCUAUACAAUACAAAAUAAAUCUGCAUUGGAACUAGCUGUUUGUAAACGGACUGGUUUUGGAAUGUCAUUUUAAUACCAAUAGAAUGCAUUUAGUGCGCCGAGUUACGUCAAGCUAUCUGCAGUUCCUAUUCGUGUGUUUCAUUUUGUGGAAAAAUAAAGUACCUACUUCUAACAUCCAUCUGGCCGUGAAGGUCAGGUCUCUUUCUUUUUUUUAUUUAAAGAACGUAGGUUCAAACUGCGAAGAGCCUUAUAAAAGAAACCAAUUUGCCAUCAAGUCAGAGCGAGAUCCUGGAGGCUGGAACGCGAUACGUCAGAGCGUUCGACCGUCAACACAACACGAUUUGCGAAAUUGAACGGAAGGGCCGCUACUAUUUUGUCGGGUAAUCUUUAUAAUACCAGCGGCCGGAGCAAGGAUUUAUAUUGGUAAUUCCAAUAAAAUAGACGCUUUGAAUCUUUUUCGUUUUGUCGAUAAACGGUCCAUCGACAUUCAGCCUCACCCAUUUUUCUUUUUAUUUCCUGCGUAAUGGUGGAUAAAUAUUUUUAUGUGUUGUUUAAAAAUGAAUUUCAAAGGAGAUGUCGGCGAGAUGAGCCUCAUAUAUAAUUAAGAAGGUAUUCUCCGCAAAGUUAAUAUCAAGUUGCAUUGGUUGAAUCUUGCGGGGUUGUUCACGACCCUCGUCACGGCGCGCGCUCGUCAGACGCACCGUGGAAUCUGCCCGAGCUUGUUCCGUCACUCGUGUUUUGGUUAUAACCGCUGCGUCUUUAAGAUUUCAUGUGUUCGCAAACAUGUUUAAUGGCAUUUGAAUAAUGUAGUCCAGAAUUGUUCAUGACUUGUACACGUGAAUUAUGCUUGGAUCAUAAACGGCAAUGUAGCGUCGGGAAGUUAUGUCGUGUGAAUUUUGAAAAGAAAUAGAAUAUUAUAUUUUAUACUAUUGUUUAAUAAUAAAGCGAUCAACCUCUUUAGCUUUCAUGUAUUAUGAAAUCUAUUAUCGGCAUUUCCAUGUCGACCUUCAUUGGAGUAUUGAGCGGUUCACUAUUCAAACAAUGCCAAUUGUCAUUUUAUGUUAAUAGAACCUACCCAGUAAAUUUAAUGGAUGACUGAAUUGAAAUUUAACAAUAUCACUGUUAUAGUUCAUGAAUAGUUUAUUUUAUAAAUGAGUUUUUAGGUAACAAACCGAUACAAAUCUAAGAUUACUUCUAUAUCCACUAAUAAGAGGGAGAGGUAACCUUUUUCCUUAUUAUUAUACUUACAAGUAAGGAGUACUAUUGCGAAAACAGCCACAUUUGGCUAUAACAAUAAUCGUAAAUGCAAUAUAGAAACAGAAUUUUGUCGGUAAUAAAAAUAAUGGGAUUUAUUUAACUUAUAUCAAAUAGAUAACUUUAUAACAUACAAAAGAAUGUAAAGGUGACGAUAUGUUCGUAUUUGAAUGUUUUUUUACAAGAUCUCAAACCAAAUAAUGUCAAACUGUUAUCUUGUAAUAUGCCAUAAUAUAUGCUCAUGCCGGAUCGCAAAACAUUAUCGCUGCUUCAGAGUUGAGACAGUUGACUCAAUCUCAAGGCGCCUGUUAUCUGAUAUUUACUAAUUUGUCGUGUUACUUACGUUUACUAUAUUGUAUAUGAUAAGGUAGUGAUCGGCAUGUAAAUGGCUAAUUCCUCUUGCAAUGUGGAUUCAAUUAAGCAGUUCGUUUUUUGGAUGACUUCUUUCGUUUUGGUCCAUAAAAAAUCGAACAAAUUAAAGCGGUUAUAAAUUGUAAUUACGAAAGUACAGAUUCGCAAGCCAGGUCAUUGGGUAAUCAGUGGGUCCAUUAAACCGUACGUACGGAGCUAUCUAGCGGCGCAGCUGCGGGUUGCAUUAGUGGCUCUGUUUCUAAAUCGAACCCCGGCGCGGCACGGCGCACUGAUCUCAACCACCGCAUUCAUACUAAUGGCCUAUGGAGCAAAUCCCACUUCUAUCGUUAUUGAGAUUCGAUACACGAAAAAUUCCGUGAAAGGCAAACAAAUCCAGCAAUUACGAAACGUUUGUACGAAUCUAGUGGUCUGGUUUGAUAUUUUGUAGUAAAGUGCAUUCCCGAUGCAGAGUGGCAUCUCACGUUUGUUUAGCGUAAAAUAUUCUACUAUAGUUCUAUUAAUAGUUACAUGUGUAAUUUUAUGAAAUUUGUUAGCCGAUUUCGCAUAAACAGUUAAACGGAUUUUGGUAUUUGGCACACAGAUAAACUAAGUAUUGGAUUAACACGUCGACUAUUUUUGAAGCCAGUAAUACGAUACCGUAUUUUUAUUCCGACAAAAUACUCUAACAAGGAUGGCGCUGCAGAAGAGUGUUAUACUAAGUUUCCAGUACGACAGAAAUUGCGACACAAGUGUCAGGGAUUAAUCUCUUUAAUGUGUACAAAUUUGUGCACACAACCGCUGAUUCAACAUUAAAUAUUGUGUAACAAUAAACGUCACGAUUAGAUACACCGGUAUUCAUAUAUAAGGUGUAUAGCUACUUCACAUGUUUGGUUUACAGUGUUUUAGUCUAAAAUUGACUUAAUAAUUCCAAAAGUAGGGAAUCAGGCUUCUUUACUCGUGUGGAGAAAAUCCACUUGAUCCCUGUCACAAACAAUUAGUUUGAUUUGGAAUUAAAUUAAAACUCGUGUUAAUUCUUUUGAGUACGAGCGAGCGGCAGUACUAAUUUGAAAUAUUCAAUUUCAAUUGAACUCUCCGAUAUACAACAUAAGUUUUAAUUUUAAAUGUACAUAUAUCGCAAGGAUCUCCACAAUAAAAUGUUAUUAAAUACGCAAUAAAUACACCCAACAGUCAAAUAUAUUCUCCUGAUCCCACGAUAUAUUUCCGUGUGUCAUGGGUAUCAGA